rnacentral:rRNA from 1 species
UCAAAACGACUCUCGUCAAUGGAUAUCUUGGCUCUUGCAUCGAUGAAGAACUUUGUAAAAUGCAAUAUUUCGUUUGAAUUGCAGAAUCUCGUGAACCAUCGAUUUUUUGAACGCAAGUUGCGCCUGAAGCCAUUAGACCAAGGGCACAUCUACAUGGGCAUCAC